UACGUAGGUGGCAAGCGUUGUUCGGAAUUAUUGGGCGUAAAGGGCGCGUAGGCGGUUUGUUAAGUCGGUCGUGAAAGCCCGGGGCUCAACCCCGGAGGGUCGACCGAUACUGGCAGACUAGAGUACAGAAGAGGUAGCUGGAAUUCCCGGUGUAGCGGUGAAAUGCGUAGAUAUCCGGAGGAACACCGGUGGCGAAGGCGGCUUCCUGGACCGACACUGACGCUGAGGCGCGAAAGCUAGGGGAGCGAACGGG
rnacentral:rRNA from 1 species